UGGUCCUACGGGGGGCAGCAGUGAGGAAUAUUGGUCAAUGGGCGGAAGCCUGAACCAGCCAAGCCGCGCGAGGGAAUAAGGCCCUACGGGUCGUAAACCUCUUUUGCCGGGGAGCAGGGGCCGGGACGCGUCCCGGCCCGGAGAGUACCCGGAGAAAAAGCAUCGGCUAACUCCGUGCCAGCAGCCGCGGUAAUACGGAGGAUGCGAGCGUUAUCCGGAUUUAUUGGGUUUAAAGGGUGCGUAGGCGGGCUUUUAAGUCAGCGGUAAAAAUUCGGGGCUCAACCCCGUCCGGCCGGUGAAACUGG
rnacentral:rRNA from 1 species